rnacentral:rRNA from 1 species
CCUCGGGAGGCAGCAGUGGGGAAUAUUGCACAAUGGGGGAAACCCUGAUGCAGCAACGCCGCGUGGGUGAAGAAGUAUUUCGGUAUGUAAAGCCCUAUCAGCAGGGAAGAGAAUGACGGUACCUGACUAAGAAGCCCCGGCUAACUACGUGCCAGCAGCCGCGGUAAUACGUAGGGGGCAAGCGUUAUCCGGAUUUACUGGGUGUAAAGGGAGCGUAGACGGUUGUGCAAGUCAAGGGUGAAAUCCCCGCGCUCAACGUGGGAACUGCCUUUGAAACUGGCAAACUGGAGUGUGUGAGAGGAUAGUGGAAUGCCAGGUGUAGGAGUGAAAUCCGUAGAUAUCUGGAGGAACAUCAGUGGCGAAGGCGACUAUCUGGCACAUAACUGACGCUGAGGAGCGAAAGCGUGGGUAGCAAACAGGAUUAGAUACCCGGGUAGUC